AACGAACGCUGGCGGCAUGCCUAACACAUGCAAGUCGAACGAAACCUUCGGGUCUAGUGGCGCACGGGUGAGUAACGCGUGGGAACCUGCCCUUAGGUUCGGAAUAACUCCCCGAAAGGGGUGCUAAUACCGGAUAAUGUCUUCGGACCAAAGAUUUAUCGCCUUUGGAUGGGCCCGCGUUGGAUUAGCUAGUUGGUAGGGUAAAAGCCUACCAAGGCGACGAUCCAUAGCUGGUCUGAGAGGAUGAUCAGCCACACUGGGACUGAGACACGGCCCAGACUCCUACGGGAGGCAGCAGUGGGGAAUAUUGGACAAUGGGCGAAAGCCUGAUCCAGCAAUGCCGCGUGAGUGAUGAAGGCCUUAGGGUUGUAAAGCUCUUUUACCCGGGAUGAUAAUGACAGUACCGGGAGAAUAAGCUCCGGCUAACUCCGUG
rnacentral:rRNA from 1 species